GAGUGCAAAACUAUGCCGUUUUGCAUGGCUAUUAAAGCCAAAAAAAAUUUAAAAAUUUUCAUUUCUUCCUUUUCUUUAAAAAAAAAAAUAGAGAGCAACACUCCCUUCUCCUUAUUUUCUCUGUUAGGGUUUCAAAAACCCAUUUUCGUCGCUGUGGUCCCGACGCCACCGUGGGUGGUGGUUGGAGCCUCAUAGGAAGUGUUUUUCAGCCCGGUUUCAAAGCCAUUCAAGGGCCACAUUCUUUUCAGCCCAAAAACGAGAGAAGAAGGUCUUUUUACCCCUUUUUUGGAAUUGAUUCCGUCGACGGAGAUGAGGCUCCGACGGUGCGACUCUGGGGCGGCCCAGUUUGUUUGCAGCUUGGGAAGAAGGUCAACGAGCGGGGGUUUCCUUUUUGUUGCAAAGGAUGGGCAGAGCUGACCCUCGAGCGAUGUUUGCACCGAGGACGCACGUGGCUGGCAGAAGGGAGACGCGGCGCUAGGGCUAGCUAGGGUUUCGGUUGGCUGAAACUUGGUUUAGGCAUUGGGCCUAUCGGGCCAUUAAAAAAUGGGUUUUAGGUUUUGUUUGUUAAAUGGGUUAAAUGAUUUGGGCUAUUCGGGCUUUUGAUGUAAAUGGACUUUGAGCUAUUAACAUUAUCUUUGGUUUCAA